rnacentral:lncRNA from 1 species
UUAGAUUUUGGAUAUUGGACCAUAAUAGGUAAUGUCCAAUUUAAAAUUGAAAGUUUUUAAGUUCAAGUUCUUAGACCACAUUCAUUAUGUGUCAGAAACCUGUGUUGUGUCAAAUAUUUAAUCACAAUCCAAAUUCAGAGCUGUAUCAAGCUUGAAUGUUGUGUCCAUACUUGCCCCAAUGUUCAGGGUUCGAACUCUGCGGUCGUAUAAAGCUGUGCCCUGUGGAGUAUCUGGUUGAUCGAUGUAAGUCAGAUUUCCGGUAUUGAUAUGCUAGUUGAAUAAAGUGUUCAUUUGAUAUCCUCAUAGUUCUUGUACAUAUGGGAAUUAAUAAUUUCAUGCUGGGCUUGAUUUUGAUAAGAAUUUUUUGACAAUUCAAGAUAUGUUUAUAACAUUUGUUUAUGUUACUGUUUUCUUUAGGUGACAUGUUUAUGGCCUAAUUAACACCUUUGAUGGUCUUUAAUCUGUUGAUCACUUUAUCACGGCCCCUUUAUCAUGGGUUAAUUAGUGUUAUCACUAUGAUUUACACUGGUCAAUGUUUACUUUGCAAUUUCCUUCAAUCCAGACUAUUUGUAACC